AGGAGGGAAAGGAAGGUAAAGCACUUGGAUAUAAUCAAUUCCUUUUCUACUUGAGAAGUCUGCGCUUCAAAGGGAGAAAUGCCUUCACUUUUCUGGUUGCCCUGGGUCUCCACCAUAUUAGCAAGCCUCCAUGUAGACUGACAAGAGGGACCCUGCAUCCCCUGAAGACAGUAUUCCUCUUCUCCUCCUCUGCUUUGAUAUAUUUCUCCAGCUCUUCUCAGGACAGAGUAACUCUCCCACGGCAAAAUACAUUUGUAUGACUGCAUCUAAACAAGAUCUUUUUAACAUGCCAUCUAUCACUGUUCUGUGUAUAUCUGGAACACUUCUAGGAAUGAGAUUCCUCAUUACCUUUGGUAGAAUGACCCUGGUUGAUGAGGAGCUAAUUAUGUUGCCCUUGUACCACCAGAAAUCAUAUCGCAUAUUUGGGAUGCACCAGAAAGCACCGCGUCAUACUCCAUAUGGUAUAAUUCUGUACCAUCUUCACUUGAGACCAGCUUUGUGUUUCUACUAGAACAGGAUGUAUACACCCAAUGGUAAACUAAAUAGAUUUUUUUGUGCUACCCAGAGCACAUUUUACACUAAUAGUGAUAGAAUGCUUUAAUAACAGCUCUGAACACAAGAGCAAUAGAACUACGUACGGCAUUGAAGACUAAAAUUAUUGUCCUGCAACAA